rnacentral:rRNA from 1 species
AACGAACGUUAGCGGCGCGCUUAACACAUGCAAGUCGCACGAGAAAGGGCUUCGGCCCCGGUACAGUGGCGCACGGGUGAGUAACACGUAGGUAAUCUACCUUCGAGUGGUGGAUAACUCUCCGAAAGGGGUGCUAAUACAGCAUAAGACCACGACUUUCCGAAGUUGCGGUCAAAGGGGGCCAAUCCUUGGAAGCUCCCGCUUGAAGAUGAGCCUGCGGCCCAUCAGCUAGUUGGUGGUGUAAUGGACCACCAAGGCUAAGACGGGUAGCUGGUCUGAGAGGAUGAACAGCCACACUGGAACUGAGACACGGUCCAGACUCCUACGGGAGGCAGCAGUGGGGAAUCUUGCGCAAUGGGCGAAAGCCUGACGCAGCGACGCCGCGUGAGCGAUGAAGGCCUUCGGGUUGUAAAGCUCUGUGGAUGGGGAAGAUAAGUGCCAGCUAAUAUCUUGCAUGAUGACGGUACCCAUUUUA